rnacentral:rRNA from 1 species
UGGAGCAAAACUCAAAAAAUAGAUCUCAGUUCGGACUGUAGGCUGCAACUCGCCUACACGAAGUUGGAAUUGCUAGUAAUCGUGGAUCAGCAUGCCACGGUGAAUACGUUCCCGGGUCUUGUACACACCGCCCGUCACACCAUGGGAGCUGGUAACACCCGAAGUCAGUAGUCUAACCGCAAGGAGGACGCUGCCGAAGGUGGGAUUAGCGACUGGGGUGAAGUCGUAACAAGGUAUC